rnacentral:rRNA from 1 species
AUGGGGAACAUACUCACCUUCAUGCUUGGAACAACUGCAGUGGGCCAUCCAAGGCAACUCCACCCAGGAGGAGGCAGCAGCAGCAGCAGGGUAGCAGGCCGUCAGUUUGAACCGCUGAGCAUUCUGGCUUUCAGGGCUAUAUCUGAGCACAUAGGACGUAGUGAAGCGUUCUGUCGAAAGCAGAUAUCGAGCGGCCGGUUUCAAUUGCUGACCAUUCUGGUUUGCGGAGCAACCCGUGCAGAGGGAAUUACAGCAAACGAUCCAUUCAAACUGUGUGGCAUUCUCAUCUGUGGAGUUUUGUCUGACUACAUCAGUCAUGGCGCAGAGGAACCAGCGGUUGAUCUGCUUGGAGACCUUCCAGAGGACGUGUUAUGCACAGUUUUGUCAAAGUUGUCUGUGGAAGAGGCUGUAAGAACCAGUGCCGUCUCAAGGAAAUGGAGAUACUUGUGGACAGUUUGUCCUAAACUGAGUUUCGAUGGAAAUAAAAUGUGUGGCAAGAAAUAUCAUGAGAAAAGAGUGUAUAAUCUAGUGUUCAGUCACAUUGUUAAUAGGGUCCUGAGACAGUGCCGUGGCAAGUUGGUUGAAGAGCUUGAAAUCAAAAUUGAGUUGAACUGGAUGUUGGUUGAACAUCUUGAUAAUUGGGUACGUUUUGCUGUAUCAUCACGGACAAAGGCACUAGUUCUUGAUUUAGCAUCAGAAGGGCGUCAACCCCCAGGUUGUGUUGAUCAGUACAAAUUCCCGCUUGACCUUUUAGACAAGGAUAGUAUACACCGUCUACAGAAACUUCAUCUUAGCUUUGUAGAUUUCCAGCCACCGAUGCAUUUUAGUGGUUUCCCUAACCUAAGGAAGCUUGAUCUGAGCAUAGUGAAUGUCAGUGGGAAGGAUAUUCAACAUAUGUUGUCAAACUGCUGUAACCUAGAGUGGCUGAGUAUUGUUAGAUGCCAUUUCAAUGGUGAACUAAAGGUUAACGGCCCACUGCCUCACCUGCUAUACUUGAAAAUUGCUUCCUGCAGAUUAACAAAUAUAGCAUUCCAUGCCGUGAACCUUGUGACUUUCGAAUACAGAGGAGUGGCGGUGCCUAUUGACCUCGGUAAAUCAUCGGAACUGAAAUUUGCAAACAUAUAUUAUUUUGGAGACACUCUUGAGCACACUAUUACCGUGCUUGCUAAAGUUCUUACAAGUGUGCAACAUCUGACCCUCAAUGCAGGCUGUAAAUCACCAGAGGUUCCCUGUUUGAUGUCUUACCCAUGCAACUUUUCUCGGAUGACAAGUUUACAAUUGAGCUUGGACUAUGUCAACGAAUUCGACAGCUUGUCACUGGUCUCCUUUUUGAGGUCUGCUCCUUUAAUUGAGAAGUUAGAGCUGCACUUUUGUAACGCUGCUUAUGUGCGCCUGGUACAAGAGCCUGAACCUAUGAGGAAGCUUUCGGAGCGUCUGUUCAGCAACAUGAAGAGCCUGCAUAUUACAGGUUUUGAAGCAUGCAAGGGCGAAGUUGAGUUCCUUCUGCACAUGGUUGAAAAUGCCCCUGCAUUGGAGUUGUUAUGUAUAGAUCACUCAUAUCAAUAUCCAAUAGAAGGCUUUCGCAAGGACAAAGAAUUGGAUGUUGACUUGCUUCAUACAACUACUAGAAGGCAUCUUAAAGGAAAAAUUUCACCCAACUGCACCUUGAUUUUACUUUAA